UCUAAGUUUGAUGGCGACCGGCGCACGGGUGAGUAACACGUAUCCAACCUGCCGAUGACUCGGGGAUAGCCUUUCGAAAGAAAGAUUAAUACCCGAUGGUAUAAUAAAACCGCAUGGUUUAAUUAUUAAAGAAUUUCGGUUAUCGAUGGGGAUGCGUUCCAUUAGGCAGUUGGUGAGGUAACGGCUCACCAAACCUUCGAUGGAUAGGGGUUCUGAGAGGAAGGUCCCCCACAUUGGAACUGAGACACGGUCCAA
rnacentral:rRNA from 1 species